rnacentral:ncRNA from 2 species
UCAUACACCAAAGCGCCAGGACUGGCAUGACGCCAGUUGACGAGGAGAGGGCUAAUCGAACUUUCGGCGGGUUCCCUCCGGCUGCGUGUGACAGCCGCAAGCUUUUGUCAAAACAAUGGGGUGACCUGUUGCACAAAAACAAAAGCAGCACGCAA